UACAGAGGCCUCGAGCGUAAUCGGAAUCACUGGGCUUAAAGCGUGCGUAGGCGGACGUGCAAGCAUGUUGUGAAAUCCCAUGGCUCAACCAUGGAACUGCUUCGUGAACUGCACGUCUGAGACAAGUAGGGGCGGUCGGAACGAUAGGUGGAGCGGUGAAAUGCGUAGAUAUCUAUCGGAACGCCGAAGGAGAAGUCAGGCCGCUGGGCUUGUUCUGACGCUGAGGUACGAAAGCGUGGGGAGCAAACGGG
rnacentral:rRNA from 1 species